rnacentral:tRNA from 7 species
CGGGAAAUAGCUCAGUUUGGUAGAGCGCUACGUUCGGGACGUAGAGGUCGCAGGUUCGAAUCCUGUUUUCCCGA